rnacentral:rRNA from 1 species
UACGGGGGGGGCAAGCGUUGUUCGGAAUCAUUGGGCGUAAAGGGCGCGUAGGCGGCCGUCCAAGUCGGGUGUGAAAUCCCUCGGCUCAACCGAGGAACUGCACUCGAUACUGGUCGGCUAGAGUCCGGGAGGGGAUGCGGAAUUCCAGGUGUAGCGGUGAAAUGCGUAGAUAUCUGGAGGAACACCGGUGGCGAAGGCGGCUACCUGGACAAUUGCUGACGCUCAGGCACGAAAGCGUGGGGAGCAAAAGGG